rnacentral:rRNA from 1 species
AGCACAGAGGAGCUUGCUCCUUGGGUGGCGAGUGGCGGACGGGUGAGGAAUACAUCGGAAUCUACUCAGUCGUGGGGGAUAACGUAGGGAAACUUACGCUAAUACCGCAUACGACCUACGGGUGAAAGCAGGGGAUCUUCGGACCUUGCGCGAUUGAAUGAGCCGAUGUCGGAUUAGCUAGUUGGCGGGGUAAAGGCCCACCAAGGCGACGAUCCGUAGCUGGUCUGAGAGGAUGAUCAGCCACACUGGAACUGAGGCACGGUCCAGACUCCUACGGGAGGCAGCAGUGGGGAAUAUUGGACAAUGGGCGCAAGCCUGAUCCAGCCAUACCGCGUGGGUGAAGAAGGCCUUCGGGUUGUAAAGCCCUUUUGUUGGGAAAGAAAUCCAGCUGGCUAAUACCCGGUUGGGAUGACGGUACCCAAAGAAUAAGCACCGGCUAACUUCGUGCCAGCAGCCGCGGUAAUACGAAGGGUGCAAGCGUUACUCGGAAUUACUGGGCGUAAAGCGUGCGUAGGUGGUCGUUUAAGUCCGUUGUGAAAGCCCUGGGCUCAACCUGGGAACUGCAGUGGAUACUGGGCGACUAGAGUGUGGUAGAGGGUAGCGGAAUUCCUGGUGUAGCAGUGAAAUGCGUAGAGAUCAGGAGGAACAUCCAUGGCGAAGGCAGCUACCUGGACCAACACUGACACUGAGGCACGAAAGCGUGGGGAGCAAACAGGAUUAGAUACCCUGGUAGUCCACGCCCUAAACGAUGCGAACUGGAUGUUGGGUGCAAUUUGGCACGCAGUAUCGAAGCUAACGCGUUAAGUUCGC